GGUAGACUCAUCUUCACGAAGGUUCCAUUGGAUUAAACAACGUACAUUGUGGCUUUUUAGUCCAAAGAAGAACAUAUGAGCAGGAAUGCUGAACUCCUGGAAAACAGAGGGUUUUUGCUGAUGAAGAAUGUGAGACGAUCAGAAGAUUGGCCGCUGCCACAAGGUUAGGCAUAUGUUCGGUGCCGGUGGUCCACUGGACUGUGCAGCCACAUGUUGGCAGUAGGCUACUUGGGUGAUCUGAUUUCAAGUCCCAGUUAGUGGUACUUUCCUGACUCCUGUUCCCAUCUCUCUUGUCUCACUCUCCGCUAUCCUAUAAUAUAAGCUACAAUGGCAAUAAAAUAAUAAUUCUUAAUAAAAAGGUCAGGCACAUUAGUUAACUUCCAUACAGUAUACUGUACUGUAUAAUUGAGAUCUUUCACCUUGGGAUAAAGGUUGCUGUUCUUGGGAUUAAUGGUCACCUUUUCGAAAAUCUGUUUCUCUGCUGCACCUGGUGGUGAUGGUCCAAUCCCAGCUCACAUAAAAGGUGUCUGGUGUUGUCCUAUCAACCUUAUCUGAUGGCAGAUAACCUUAUCCCUAUUGCACUGGUAGAGUGAACACUCACAUGGUCGAAUUCGUUCAGAGCAACAUCUAAGGACCUUUUGGGAGAAACUUUUUUAUCCAUUUUGUUUUUCGAAGCUUACAACGUGUUGUAACCGUAGUAACUAUUGUAAGCAGUAAUGAAAUCAGAGACCUUCUCCCUCCCUGUACACCAAUGAAAGCACCUACUGACCUCUCUGUCAAGCUCCUGAAGUUCGCAGACAAUGCCACAGUUCUUGGCCUCAUACCUGUCGGCGACGAGUCUGCUUUCAACAGCAACAACAUUUAUUUAUAUAGCACAUUUAAGAAACAACAGAUGUUGAGCAAAGUGCUUCACAUUGAAUAAAAUUUUAAUAAAACAAGACAAAAAAUAUGACAUAAGAAACUGAAAAAUAAAAAUAUCAUAGUAGAAAUGGAUCAUGGAAUGCUAAAUAGCAAUAAAAAUAGAAAAGUUUGUAAGGCCGAUUUGAAGGUUGACAAAGACUAGGUAGAUCGGACCGGACAGCUGUUCCAUAACUAAAGUACAGCGAUUGCAAAAGCACAGUCACCUCUAUUUUUAAGUCUAGAUCUGGGUAUGGCAAGCAGGUCAGAGUCCCUGGUUCUAAGUGUUCUUGAAUGAGAGAGUGGAUGGAGUAAGUCAGAGAGAUACUGUUGGCGUUGGUUUCACAAGUACUUAAAAACAAAUAAUAAAACUUUAAAUUCAAUCCUGUAUCUAACCGGUAGCCAGUGGAGGGAAAUCAGAACUGGUGUGAUGUGGGAUCUUUUACGCUUCCUUUUAAGGAGCCUCGCUGCAGCAUUUUGAACUAAUUGCAAACAUGAGACACAUAUCUGAGAAGCUCCAAUAUACAAUGAGUUGCAGUAGUCUAGACGAGAUGUUAUAAACGAAUGCAUUGCAGUUUCAAAGGCUUUAGCAGACAGAAAAGGCUUAACCUUGGCUAAGAGACGAAGGUGAUAAAAACAGGAUUUGACCACAGUACCUAUAUGCUUGUCUAAUUUAAGAUUGCUAUCCAGCAAUACCACACGAUUUCGGACACAGGUUGUACUAUAGGAUGACAGAAAAUCAAGAUCGAGAUCAUGAACACUGCGCUAAUUUGAACCAAACAAGAUCAUUUCAGUCUUGCUCUCGUUGAGAAAAAAAAUCUAUAAAGCCCAAGUUUAAGUUCACCUACACAGUUUAGAAUAGGCUUUAAGAGAUUUUGUGUCAUCAGCGUACAGAUGAAAAGAUACUCUAAAUUUAGUUAAUAAACUGAGGUUGAGCAGAUGGCUGUCUGGUGCAGUCAUAACAACCUGGAGCUAAACACCUUAAAAACAGUGGAGAUGAUAGUGGACUUUAGGAGAAACCCCCCGGCACCCCCCACCACUCACUCACAUCAUGAACAUCACUGUGGCCGCAGUAGAGUCAUUCAGGUUCCUUGGCACCACCAUCUCACAGGACCUGAAGUGGGACAUUCACAUUGACUAUAUUGUAACAAAGGCCCAACAGAGGUUCUACUUCCUUCGCCAGCUGAGGAAGUUCAACCUGGAACAGGAGCUGCUCUUACAGUUCUACUCAGCUGUCAUUGAAUCCGUCCUCUGCACUUUCAUCACUGUCUGGUUCGGCUCAGCUGCAAAAACUGACCUCCGAAGACUACGGAUAGUCCGGAAUGCUGAGCGAAGAGCUGGCACAAUGCACUUUCCAAGAACUGUACUCAUCCAGAGUGAGUGAAAGAACACGCAAAUUCACUUAGGAUCCUCUCUUUGAACUGCUGCCAUCUGGUCGGCAUUACAGAGCAAUGAGCAUCAAAACAGCCAGACAUAGGAAAAGUCUACAUCAUGAACAGUUAUAUGUUAUACUGUGCAAUAAAAAACAUUUGCAAUACACAACUAUACAUACUCACAUUUAUUAUACACAUGUUAUUGAUAUAAUAUUCAUCUAUCCACAUUCCCCUGCAUAACCUGUACUGUAUAUACCACAUAUAAUUUGUAUGUAGCACAUCUAAAUAUGCAAAAUACUGCCUAUUGUCUUUUUGUCUAAUAUUGUCUUUUUUGUCAAAUGUGUAUUGCCUCUCACGUAUUUAUUUUUACGUUUUGUUACCUGUGCCUUGUCCCUUUUUAACCUGUAUGUGCACUGGAAGCUUUUGUCGCUAAGACAAAUUCCUUGUGUG